rnacentral:tRNA from 1 species
GGCCCCAUCGUCUAGUGGUCUAGGACGCCGGCCUCUCACGCCGGUAGCGCGGGUUCGAACCCCGCUGGGGUCACCA